rnacentral:rRNA from 1 species
UACGUAGGGGGCGAGCGUUGUCCGGAUUUAUUGGGCGUAAAGAGCGUGUAGGCGGCCAGGUAGGUCUGCUGUGAAAACUCGAGGCUCAACCUCGAGACGUCGGUUGAAACCAUCUGGCUAGAGUCCGGAAGAGGAGUGUGGAAUUCCCGGUGUAGCGGUGAAAUGCGCAGAUAUCGGGAAGAACACCCGUGGCGAAGGCGGCACUCUGGGACGGUACUGACGCUGAGACGCGAAAGCGUGGGGAGCGAACAGG